GGGAGCACUUGGUCUGCAAGGCCCCGCGGGUCCACAAGGCGUGAGAGGAUUUCAGGGUCGUAAAGGUGCAAGCGGUGAGCCGGGCCUACCUGGACCUACUGGAAUCCGGGGCGGGUAUGGUGAGAGGGGCUCCGGUGGAGUUUCUGGUCCCAAAGGUAACCAGGGCAUAGCGGGAGCCGACGGCCUGCCCGGGGACAAAGGAGAACUGGUAGGUG